AUUGAACGCUGGCGGCAGGCCUAACACAUGCGAGUCGAGCGGAUGAAGGGAGCUUGCUCCUGGAUUCAGCGGCGGACGGGUGAGUAAUGCCUAGGAAUCUGCCUGGUAGUGGGGGAUAACGUCCGGAAACGGGCGCUAAUACCGCAUACGUCCUGAGGGAGGAAGUGGGGGAUCUUCGGACCUCACGCUAUCAGAUGAGCCUAGGUCGGAUUAGCUAGUUGGUGGGGUAAAGGCCUACCAAGGCGACGAUCCGUAACUGGUCUGAGAGGAUGAUCAGUCACACUGGAACUGAGACACGGUCCAGACUCCUACGGGAGGCAGCAGUGGGGAAUAUUGGACAAUGGGCGAAAGCCUGAUCCAGCCAUGCCGCGUGUGUGAAGAAGGUCUUCGGAUUGUAAAGCACUUUAAGUUGGGAGGAAGGGCAGUAAGUUAAUACCUUGCUGUUUUGACGUUACCAACAGAAUAAGCACCGGCUAACUUCGUG
rnacentral:rRNA from 1 species